rnacentral:rRNA from 1 species
UAGGGAAUCUUCGGCAAUGGACGAAAGUCUGACCGAGCAACGCCGCGUGAGUGAAGAAGGUUUUCGGAUCGUAAAACUCUGUUGUUAGAGAAGAACAAGGACGUUAGUAACUGAACGUCCCCUGACGGUAUCUAACCAGAAAGCCACGGCUAACUACGUGCCAGCAGCCGCGGUAAUACGUAGGUGGCAAGCGUUGUCCGGAUUUAUUGGGCGUAAAGCGAGCGCAGGCGGUUUCUUAAGUCUGAUGUGAAAGCCCCCGGCUCAACCGGGGAGGAUCAUUGGAAACUGGGAGACUUGAGUGCAGAAGAGGAGAGUGGAAUUCCAUGUGUAGCGGUGAAAUGCGUAGAUAUAUGGAGGAACACCAGUGGCGAAGGCGGCUCUCUGGUCUGUAACUGACGCUCAGGUGCGAAAGCGUGGGGAGCAAACAGG